UACGUAGGGAGCAAGCGUUAUCCGGAUUUACUGGGUGUAAAGGGCGCGCAGGCGGGAAGACAAGUUGGGAGUGAUAUCCGGGGGCUCAACCCCCGAACUGCUUUCAAAACUGUUUUUCUUGAGUGAUGGAGAGGCAGGCGGAAUUCCCAGUGUAGCGGUGAAAUGCGUAGAUAUUGGGAGGAACACCAGUGGCGAAGGCGGCCUGCUGGACAUUAACUGACGCUGAGGCGCGAAAGCGUGGGGAGCAAACAGGAUUAGAUACCCUGGUAGUCCACGCCGUAAACGAUGGAUACUAGGUGUGGGAGGUAUUGACCCCUUCCGUGCCGGCGUUAACACAAUAAGUAUCCCACCUGGGGAGUACGAUCGCAAGGUUGAA
rnacentral:rRNA from 1 species